GGUGAACCUUGGGAUGACUCUUCCUCUUCGUCUUCUUCACCAAACCGAGGAUGAGUUGAAUAUUUGGGUUUACUAACUUGUGAAGUAGUAUUGAUUCCUUGUAAUGUUACUUUGGAUUCUAAAGGAUCAAUAAAACUUCUACUUGAUUUAUAGCUACUCAUUCUAUCUAGGCUGUUCCUAGAAGGAAUAUGUUUAUCUUUCUUAGAAGUACUUGCUAAACUUCUAUUAUCAAA
rnacentral:lncRNA from 1 species